rnacentral:misc_RNA from 1 species
GAUGAAGAACGUAGCGAAAUGCGAUACUUGGUGUGAAUUGCAGAAUCCCGUGAACCAUCGAGUUUUUGAACGCAAGUUGCGCCCGAAGCCUUUUGGCCGAGGGCACGUCUGCCUGGGCGUCACGCAUCGCGUCGCCCCCCACAAAUUCUCCGUCAGGGGAGCUUGUGUUUCGGGGGCGGAUACUGGUCUCCCGUGCUCGUGCUCAUGGCGCGGUUGGCCGAAAUAGGAGUCCCUUCGAUGGACGCAAGAACUAGUGGUGGUCGUAAAAACCCUCGUCUUUUGUUUCGUGCCGUUAGUCGCGAGGGAAGCUCUUCAAAAACCCCAACGCGUCGUCUCUUGACGGCGCUUCGACCGCGACCCCAGGUCAGGCGGGACUACCCGCUGAGUUUAAGCAUAUCAAUAAGCGGAGGA